AGGCGGAGACUGGAGCAAGUGCUCUACACUCGUGGUGGCAUUGCACUAGUCUCAGUCUGC
rnacentral:pre_miRNA from 1 species